rnacentral:rRNA from 1 species
CCUACGGGUGGCAGCAGUGGGGAAUAUUGGACAAUGGGGGCAACCCUGAUCCAGCCAUGCCGCGUGUGUGAAGAAGGCCCUCGGGUUGUAAAGCACUUUCAGUGAGGAAGAACGCCUGGUGGUUAAUACCCAUCAGGAAAGACGUCACUCACAGAAGAAGCACCGGCUAACUCCGUGCCAGCAGCCGCGGUAAUACGGAGGGUGCGAGCGUUAAUCGGAAUUACUGGGCGUAAAGCGCGCGUAGGUGGCUUGAUAAGCCGGUUGUGAAAGCCCCGGGCUCAACCUGGGAACGGCAUCCGGAACUGUCAAGCUAGAGUGCAGGAGAGGAAGGUAGAAUUCCCGGUGUAGCGGUGAAAUGCGUAGAGAUCGGGAGGAAUACCAGUGGCGAAGGCGGCCUUCUGGACUGACACUGACACUGAGGUGCGAAAGCGUGGGUAGCAAACAGGAUUAGAUACCCUUGUAGUC